rnacentral:rRNA from 1 species
AUUGAACGCUGGCGGCAGGCUUAACACAUGCAAGUCGAGCGGAGAUGAGGUGCUUGCACCUUAUCUUAGCGGCGGACGGGUGAGUAAUGCUUAGGAAUCUGCCUAUUAGUGGGGGACAACAUUCCGAAAGGAAUGCUAAUACCGCAUACGCCCUACGGGGGAAAGCAGGGGAUCUUCGGACCUUGCGCUAAUAGAUGAGCCUAAGUCGGAUUAGCUAGUUGGUGGGGUAAAGGCCUACCAAGGCGAUGAUCUGUAGCGGGUCUGAGAGGAUGAUCCGCCACACUGGGACUGAGACACGGCCCAGACUCCUACGGGAGGCAGCAGUGGGGAAUAUUGGACAAUGGGCGGAAGCCUGAUCCAGCCAUGCCGCGUGUGUGAAGAAGGCCUUUUGGUUGUAAAACACUUUAAGCGAGGAGGAGGCUACCUGGAUUAAUACUCUAGGAUAGUGGACGUUACUCGCAGAAUAAGCACCGGCUAACUCUGUGCCAGCCGCCGCCGUAAAAC